rnacentral:tRNA from 1 species
UCCCUAGUGGUCCAGUGGCUAGGACUCCGCACUUUCAGUGCCCAAGGUCUGGGUUCAACCCCUGGUUGGGGAA